CUGAAUGCCGUUUCUGUGCUUCCGAAGGUAUUCGCUUACAGAAAAACCCAGCAAUUAACGUGCAGCCGAACCUCUGCGAGUGCGUAACUUCGGUAACAGAAAAGUUUUUCCUUUAGAGAUAACGCAGGAGCCGUGGAGUCUGGGGGUGUCACUCUAAUUUUAUUCUGCAAACAAAGAGUAAGUGUUGGAUUUCCGAGUCACUCUCGCUUGCAUUGUCGUCAAGCGAAAGCCCACGGAGGAAGCAGUAAUGCCGUCUUGUUCUCAACCUUGAAAACAACAGGCCACCUUGUGCCACAUCCCAUUUUUCUGCAGCCAACUCUCCUCCCCAGGCACUAAAUCAAUAGCUAUUGCCACUACACAUACAAGAGUGGAUCUGGUGCUACGUGUGGAGUUUAAGUCUUUGGCAACCUUGAAGUAACUCUUUCUUGUUACAGAUUCGCCUGGGAGAUUCCGUACAUAAAGUUCCCAUUAUUUCAGCAGCGGUCUCCGACGUCAUGACCUCGCUGUCGCUGUCACCGAUGCUCUUGGCUGCCCAGUAAUGCAGCCCGAAGCGAGAGGGUUGGGUGCACUUGCGGAUCAGAACCGCUCCUUUUUCAGCUAUCCUUUUCCUACAGUGAGAUUAAAGAGGAGAGUCACUUAGCCCAUCGCUCUGGUCUCGUGCGACGCGCUGGGCACCGCCGGCCGCGCUGAUGCGAGUGACGCAGGGACCCCUGCUUCCCAGAGCGCUACGACUGAAAGGCAGUACAGUUCAAUAAGAAUAAGAAGAGAAAAAAGAACUAGGGUGUUAAGAGGGGGUUUGCUUUCGACGUUAAAGGACAGAAAACGCAGACAGCGUGCCAUUCUGCGGGUAUCUCGCCUGGCAGUUGAACUGCAUGAGGACGGCUUUGCUCUCAGUAAUUACAGGAAAGCAGGGUCAAUCCCAGGAGCAAUUGGGAGGUAAAGGCCUUGGUCAAGGACUCAAGAGAGAACUCAAUCUUCUGAGUCUACAGUUUCAACUGGUGACCUGGUCACAGGUACAGUGUUCUAACCCACUGAGGCACACCAUCCCAUAGAAAAGACAGAGGCUUGAACUUGGGUCCUUCGGUACAACAACAAGCUCUAAUCAACAGAGCUUUGGCUAAACUUUCAGGCUGCAUCUGGUGAGGAAUACAUCACAAUAGAAAUGCUGGGGAUUGAACCCAUUGUUGAAUUCUUAAAGGAUUUUGCGUACACGGUUCACAAAGUUCAAAGACACUCAUACUCUUCCUGUCCUGCUCCAUAACUGCCCAGCUUUACCAUAAAGAUGUCAAGGUCAGCCCCUGUUGUCUCAGUCUUUUGUGUCCCUUCCCCGUUUGGCCAGCAGAUGUCGCUGGCCAUCCUGUCCCUCUUGUCAGUCUUUCUGUUUCUCCUGUUUCCUAUCAGCCGCAUGGCUCAGCGUGCUGAGCAUGUGGCUACUUGCAAAUCCCUUUGUCCUGUAUGCAAAUCCUGCCUCCUCUGCUUUUGUAUUUUGUUCCCUAGUGUUUCUUUUGUAUGAGUUUAGUUCCCGUGUCUGUUGGUUUUUGUAUUCCAUUUGGUUUCUUGUGUUGAACCUUAGUUAUGUUUUAUUGGUUUUGUGACCCCUUGUGUUAAUUUUUAUGUUUCGAGUUUUCUUGGUUAAUUCUUAGUUUCCCUGUUUUAGUUUCACCUGUGACCUGUUUCCCAGUCUGUUAAUUAGUCUCACCUGUCCUGUGUUAGUCUUGUUACCCAGUUUGAGUUUCAGUAUUUAAGUCCCUGCUUCUGUUCAGUUCCCCAGUGGUUUGUUGUUUGUGAUUCUUAUUAUUCUGUUGAUUGUGAAUGUUCUGAUUCUGUUAGAUGUAUGUUCUGCUUACCUGCCUGCUUGUGAUUAGUCUUUCUUUAUCCCCUUUUGUUUUUGACCCCUCGUGCUCCUUUUGUUUUUUGUAGUGUUCUUAGUAUUGUCUGUUUUAUUUAAUAAAUCGCCAUUUGUUUUGACCCACAAGUGGGUCGUCCAUCAUUUCCGUUCCCCGCCUGCAUGAUGCCUCAUCCCCGUUCAAAACCCGCCUGGAUCCAUGACAAAAGUCUCAUAGGAAAUACUACAUAUUGAAGAAUUUUAAUAUGAGUUCUUAGAGAAACAGCAGUAUCAUCACAGCAUGUCAUUACCGGUCCUUAUGUCUUUUGAUCUCAUUCGUUUUUCACCCUAUAUGUUUGGAGCCAUUGGAAUUUUGAAGAUCUUUGAUGGUUCUUCCACCAAUAUUGAUUAUGCACUUAUCUUAUUCCAUUCUUCCAAACCAACUUUUCUCAUUAUAUAUCCUGUGUACACAUCAAAUAAAUAUGCUGAUAAUAUGCACCCUUGUGUAACUUCUUUACCAGUCUCGAAUGAGUGUCUUUCUCCCUUUUCCUUCAUGGCUGUAACUUCUUGUCCGGAGUAGAGAGUGUAAGGACAAUAAGAUGGUGACGGACAAAUGGCUGGACUCUGAUUCUGGAGU